GCUACGGUGGGCUGCAGUGAGGAAUAUUGGUCAAUGGGCGUAAGCCUGAACCAGCCAAGUCGCGUGAGGGAUGAAGGUUCUAUGGAUCGUAAACCUCUUUUAUAAGGGAAUAAAGUGCGGGACGUGUCCCGUUUUGUAUGUACCUUAUGAAUAAGGAUCGGCUAACUCCGUGCCAGGAGCCGCGGUAAUACGGAGGAGUCGGACGUUAUCAGGAUUUAUUGGGUUUAAAGGGUGCGUAGGCAUCCUUUUAAGUCAGCGGUGAAAGGCUGUGGCUCAACCAUGGAAUUGCCGUUGAAACUGGGAGGCUUGAGUAUGUUUGAGGCAGGCGGAAUGCGUGGUGUAGCGGUGAAAUGCUUAGAUAUCACGCAGAACCCCGAUUGCGAAGGCAGCCUGCCAAGCCAUGACUGACGCUGAUGCACGAAAGCGUGGGGAUCAAACAGGAUUAGAUACCCUUGUAGUC
rnacentral:rRNA from 1 species